AACGAACGCUGGCGGCAGGCUUAACACAUGCAAGUCGAACGCCCCGCAAGGGGAGUGGCAGACGGGUGAGUAACGCGUGGGAAUCUACCCAGUUCUACGGAACAACUGAGGGAAACUUCAGCUAAUACCGUAUACGCCCUACGGGGGAAAGAUUUAUCGGAAUUGGAUGAGCCCGCGUUGGAUUAGCUAGUUGGUGAGGUAACGGCCCACCAAGGCGACGAUCCAUAGCUGGUCUGAGAGGAUGAUCAGCCACACUGGGACUGAGACACGGCCCAGACUCCUACGGGAGGCAGCAGUGGGGAAUAUUGGACAAUGGGCGCAAGCCUGAUCCAGCCAUGCCGCGUGAGUGAUGAAGGCCUUAGGGUUGUAAAGCUCUUUCAGUGGGGACGAUAAUGAGCGUACCCACAGAAGAAGCCCCGG
rnacentral:rRNA from 1 species